rnacentral:lncRNA from 1 species
UUAUGAGAAAUCGGUUUUCCAGUCACCGACUCCGAGCCUUUGAGACUGCCCCGCCAGCCAAUUGCUCACCGCACCACUGUGUCUUUGUUUAGCUGUAUGUUGGACAUUUUGUCCAGAAGAAUACUGUUAAAAAAACAGCACUGAAAUGUUCGCUGACAUCCAAAAAUUACAUCAGCUGGCGCUCGCGUUGCCACACGGCGGCUCUGCGCGCCGGGGUCCAGCUACCCGGACAGCAGCGGAACGGGCCACGGCGGAGCGAGGCGGCGGCGGAGCACUGUGCACCCGGAAGCGAAGGCCGGGCGGCGGAGUUCCGCUAUGGAGGCGCUACCGCUGCGCGUGCUGGCGUGCGGCGACGUGGAGGGGCGGCUGGAGAGUCUCUU